UUCGAGGUAGUGACGAGAAAUAACAAUACAGGGCAUUUUAUGCUCUGUAAUUGGAAUGAUGGGAAUGUAAAACCCUUCCAGAGUAACAAUUGGAGGGCAAGUCUGGUGCCAGCAGCCGCGGUAAUUCCAGCUCCAAUAGUGUAUAUUAGAGUUGUUGCAGUUAAAAAGCUCGUAGUUGGAUUUCUGUCGUGGUCAUCCGGCUCCGCCCGUAUGGGUGUGCGCCUGGUUUGCCCUCGGCUUUCUUCCGGUAGCCUUCCGCGCUUCACUGCGUGUGUUGGUGUUCUGGAACUUUUACUUUGAGAAAAAUAGAGUGUUUCAAGCAGGCUUGUCGCCCUGAAUACUUCAGCAUGGAAUAAUAAGAUAGGACCUUGGUUCUAUU
rnacentral:rRNA from 1 species